GGACGGACGGGGCGCGCACCGGGGGGAAAGCGCAGCACAGAGCUCUGACCCGGGCGCGCGGGCUGGGCGUGAGCGUGAUGACUUGGCGGGAGCCAGUGGGGGAGCACUCGGGAGAGCGGAAGGUCGGGAGGGUCGCGUGAAGGUGCAAAGGUGUGCGUGCGUGUCCGCGCAGGCGUAGCCAGGGCGAGUGGGGCUCCCCAGAGGAUGCUGCACGGGAGACACGCGGAAGAUGCGCAGGAGAUGGCUCGGAGCGUGCGCGAGAGAUGCACGAGAGAUGCGUGGGAGAGGCGCGGAGAUGCACGGGGGAAUGCUUGGAAGCCGCACGGGAGAUGCUCUGCGUUUGUGCAGAAGAUGCUCAGGCGACCCACAGGGGGUGCGUGGGAGAUGCUCUGGAGAUGCGCUCGGAGGGCGAUGCUCCGAAGCGCGCGGAGAUGCGGGGUGCUGGCAUGCUCUGUGAGUGUGAGCUUUGGGGGAGAGGAGUGUGAUGUGGCAGCCGAGCAGAAAAGAGAGAGAGGCUUGGCAAGGGGUGGCUGGGCAGGUACAGACUUCUCUGGCAGGGCCUAGAAUGGGAGCAGCUCCCGCUGUCUGGUCCUCAUCAUGAAGCCUCAAGUUUCAGUCUUGGUUCCCUGGGAGGGGCCCCCAGAAGGCUAGCCAGACUGGAAGGAAGUCUUAAUCCUGGACCCUGGGGAGGGAGAGGCUCCCGGGCCAACCUUCCAGGUUGGCAACAGGCUUUUCCCCACUGCCUGCCCUGACUGUCUGUGGCCCUCUGCCCAACCUGGAGGCUUUCUCACCCCUCCAGACUUCGGUCCAUGCUCUCACUUGGGCGUGGGUUCCGCUGAGCCCGCUCUGUGGACACCAGAAGGCCCGAAGCAGGCUUAAAUGACCCAGAAGAGUGGGAAACUGCUAUGUGAGAGGCCUCUGCUUUCACAGGACUCAAGGACCACAGGAUACCAGUUGCUGCUUAAGUUGGCGCAAAGGGAAUUUAACUCUUGCAGCCAAAGAUCCUGGAAGACCAACUCGGGAGCCGGUGACACCGAGGCCUAGAACAGGCUGUGGAAUAGAGAAACGCGACCUUAGCCUUUAAUAUGUGCCCGAGGACACCAGAGGGCGACCAUUUCUAUCCUCUGAGCCCCACCACAAGGCAUCAUGGAAGAGGGAGCCUUCGCCUCAGUGUCUUUUGCAAGGCAUCAUGGGAGAGGGAGCCUUCGCCUCAGUGUCUUGCAAGGCAUCAUGGAAGAGGGAGCCUUCGCCUCAGUGUCUUUUGCAAGGCAUCAUGGUGACGUUAUCUUCCGUUUGAAACAGGAAGCAUCUGAUGCAACAUCAUCUUCGGCCCUCUCUGCUGCAGGGCAUCAUGGGAAAUACAGUCUUGGCUCAA